CUCGCUUCUCGGCCUUUUGGCUAAGAUCAAGUGUAGUAUCUGUUCUUAUCAGCUUAAAAAUCCUUAGAAUUUUUGUUAAUAAUACUAGGCUUUUGCAGCUUUGUGUACAUGUGUUCCUAAUUGUAACAGGGAGAACUAAUUGGUGAUGGUAUGAUGCUGUCAGUGAUAAUUACUAGCCUAAAA